rnacentral:rRNA from 1 species
ACGAACGCUAGCGGGAUGCCUCAAACAUGCAAGUCGUACGCGAAAGUGGCUUCGGCCAUUAGUAGAGUGGCGCACGGGUGCGUAACACGUAACUAACGUACCUCUUCGCUGUGGAUAACUCAGGGAAACCUGAGCUAAUACAGAAUAAUCUGCCGGGUUCUGCGGAACCUGUCGGUAAAGUCGCAAGACGCGAAGAGAUCGGGUUGCGGUCUAUUAGCUAGUUGGUGGGGUAACGGCGUACCAAGGCUACGAUAGAUAGCUGGUCUGAGAGGAUGAUCAGCCACACUGGAACUGGAACACGGUCCAGACUCCCACGGGAGGCAGCAGUUGGGAAUAUUGGACAAUGGGGUAACCCCUGAUCCAGCAAUCCCGCGUGAGUGAUGAAGGCCUUCGGGUUGUAAAGCUCUUUUAGUUGGGAAGAAGGGAAACUUGACUGUACCAACAGAAAAAGCACCGGCUAACUCUGU